rnacentral:rRNA from 1 species
AGAGUGAACGCUGGCGGUAGGCCUAACACAUGCAAGUCGAACGGCAGCACAGUGGUAGCAAUACCAUGGGUGGCGAGUGGCGGACGGGUGAGGAAUACAUCGGAAUCUACCUUUUCGUGGGGGAUAACGUAGGGAAACUUACGCUAAUACCGCAUACGCCCUUUGGGGGAAAGCAGGGGAUCGCAAGACCUUGCGCGAAUGGAGCGGCCGAUGGCAGAUUAGGUAGUUGGUGAGGUAAAGGCUCACCAAGCCUUCGAUCUGUAGCUGGUCUGAGAGGACGACCAGCCACACUGGGACUGAGACACGGCCCAGACUCCUACGGGAGGCAGCAGUGGGAAUUUGGACAAUGGGCGAAAGCCUAGAUCCAGCCAUGCCGCGUGCAGGAUGAAGGCCUUCGGUUGUAACUGCUUUGUACGUAACGAAAGUCUACUUUACUAAUAAAGUAAGGAUACGAUAGACGGUAACCGUAAG